rnacentral:antisense_RNA from 1 species
CAAAGAGUCGGUUUGAGUUGCAUGACUGACAUCUUCUGGCUACAGUGGAUAUUACAGAAAGACUGAAACUCCGCAAAGGUGUGUUUGAAAAAAAGAAAAGCACCCUGGAAUUUGGAUCAUUAAGUAUCUGCCAUUUAGAAUGUGCCCACAACUGCCAAAUCAAUAAUAGAAUAAAGCAAGGGGAAUCCCUGAGUCUUCAUGGAGUAACAGCCACACCUUCUUAAGGGGAUCAAGGGGCAAGGUGACUUGAAGACAAUAUUAUCAUGAUAAAUAAGGAAAUAAGGGAAAGUGUGGAAGGUUUUCAUCUCAAUGGACAUGAAAAAGUGUGCAUUAUUAGAGUGCAUUUAAUAAGCCAGGAUUAUCACCUAGAGUUGCAGAGCAAGACAAAGCAAGUAGAGUCGGUAUCUGGAGACCUUUUUGCAAAGAAGAGACAAGCUCUCUCUAGGCUAUAUCACUAGUCUCAACUUCCUGGGCUCCAGCCAU